GACCCGUUCGUCUAAAUGGAUCGGACACUCGCCUUUCACGUGAGCAAUCGGGGUUCGAUUCCCCGACGGGUCA
rnacentral:tRNA from 1 species